rnacentral:rRNA from 1 species
AUGGGGGGACCAUCCUCCAAGGCUAAAUACUACUGACUGACCGAUAGUGAACCAGUACCGUGAGGGAAAGGCGAAAAGAACCCCUGUGAGGGGAGUGAAAUAGAACCUGAAACCGUGUACGUACAAGCAGUAGGAGCAGGCUUUGUCCUGUGACUGCGUACCUUUUGUAUAAUGGGUCAGCGACUUAUAUUCAGUGGCAAGGUUAACCAUCUAGGGGAGCCGUAGGGAAACCGAGUCUUAACUGGGCGUUCAGUCUCUGGAUAUAGACCCGAAACCAGGUGAUCUAGCCAUGGGCAGGUUGAAGGUUGAGUAACAUCAACUGGAGGACCGAACCGACUAAUGUUGAAAAAUUAGCGGAUGACUUGUGGCUAGGGGUGAAAGGCCAAUCAAACCUGGAGAUAGCUGGUUCUCCCCGAAAGCUAUUUAGGUAGCGCCUCGGACGAAUACUACUGGGGGUAGAGCACUGUUAAGGCUAGGGGGUCAUCCCGACUUACCAACCCUUUGCAAACUCCGAAUACCGGAAACGAUGUGGGAAGGCUCAGACAGCCAGGAUGUUGGCUUAGAAGCAGCCAUCAUUUAAAGAAAGCGUAAUAGCUCACUGGUCGAGUC